GACGAACGCUGGCGGCGUGCCUAAUACAUGCAAGUAGAACGCUGAAGAGAGGAGCUUACUCUUCUUGGAUGAGUUGCGAACGGGUGAGUAACGCGUAGGUAACCUGCCUUGUAGCGGGGGAUAACUAUUGGAAACGAUAGCUAAUACCGCAUAACAAUGGAUGACACAUGUCAUUUAUUUGAAAGGGGCAAUUGCUCCACUACAAGAUGGACCUGCGUUGUAUUAGUUAGUAGGUGAGGUAAUGGCUCACCUAGGCGACGAUACAUAGCCGACCUGAGAGGGUGAUCGGCCACACUGGGACUGAGACACGGCCCAGACUCCUACGGGAGGCAGCAGUAGGGAAUCUUCGGCAAUGGGGGCAACCCUGACCGAGCAACGCCGCGUGAGUGAAGAAGGUUUUCGGAUCGUAAAGCUCUGUUGUAAGUCAAGAACGGGUGUGAGAGUGGAAAGUUCACACUGUGACGGUAGCUUACCAGAAAGGGACGGCUAACUACGUG
rnacentral:rRNA from 1 species